rnacentral:lncRNA from 1 species
CAUUUUUCAUUUGAUUUUCAUCCAAACUUAAUUUUUCUUGGUUCAAAAGCUUCCCAAGUGUAUCCAAAAGACUUUAAAGCUUAUCACAAGGGUUAGCUUUCUACAAAAAUAUUCUUAACUAAGCUUAAAAGAUAUUAGUCCCAUUUUAUACUUUAAUGUUAUGUAAUCAUCAAAAUUAUUUUUUGAAUCAACAAUCUUCUCUUUA